UAUUUUGUUUUCUAGGGUUCCGCGGCAUGUUUGCCGGCAUGGUCCGAGAGAAAACACACAGCAUCCUUGCUGUGACACGGAGGGAUAAAAGCCCGGGAGGU
rnacentral:sRNA from 1 species